AGCUCCAAUAGCGUAUAUUAAAGUUGCUGCAGUUAAAAAGCUCGUAGUUGCAUUUCCGAGGCAAGGGAUUAGUCCGACCUUUGGUGGGUAUUUAAUCCUCUUGCCUCGUCCUUGAGUGGUGCUUCUUGGUAUUAAGUUAUCGAGGAGAUAGCCGCUCAUCGUUUACUGUGAGAAAAUUAGAGUGUUCAAAGCAGGCUUAUGCCGUUGAAUAUAUUAGCAUGGAAUAAUAAGAUAGUACCUCGGUACUAUUUGGUUGGUUUGAGAACCAAGGUAAUGAUGAAUAGGGACAGUUGGGGGUAUUCGUAUUCAGUUGUCAGAGGUGAAAUUCUUAGAUUUACGGAAGACGAACUACUGCGAAAGCAUUUACCAAGGAUGUUUUCA
rnacentral:rRNA from 1 species